UUUAAUUACGAAUUCUAGUCAGAGUCUUAAGCAUAAUAUUCAUAAAACUAAGCACAGCAAUAUCACGCACAGAGAAAGAGAAAGAAAAUUGAAAUUACUCAGCAGGGGAAGACAUGAUGAAUCUAGAAAACGAGUUCGAUCGAAAUCAAGCUAAACAUAAAACUAACCUCAAGGAGCAGCGGCUAAGUCGAGAACAGACCGGAAGAGCAAUGCACGUGCUGCCGUACAGCAAGGUAAACCAGAGCAGCGUGGCGGCGACCGGAGAAAACUUCACAGCAGCGUCGUUUCUGGAGUACAGCAGCAGCUCAAAGCAGCGGCGAAGUAUGGCGCUAAGGGGAUCAGAAAAACACUCAGAGUAGCGUCGUUUUUCGUUGCUUGCUGACCGGCGGAGAUUGUGGCGGCGGCGGCGGCGAGGAAACCUACGAUUUUAUGAUUGGAGAGAGGCGACAGAGGACGUGGUUCGUGGCUGCGUUGACUGUUGAUACGACGGCGGCGGCGCAAGGAACGAGUGGCGUUGGUCGGGGUGAGUCGGCGCCGGAGAGAUCGUAGGCGGCAGAUUUGGGAAGAAGAAGAUAGGUGGCAGAUUUGGGAAGAAGGUGGUAGGCGCGGCGCAUUUGGGGUUAAUUAGGGCUAAUGUGUUUGAACGAUCAAACUGAAUUCUUCUCUUUUCAAUUUUUUCUUUUUUUUUAAAUUCUGAAUAAGCCUUUAAAACCGGUUUAAAAACGGUUUAAUAUGUUUAAUUAAAACCGGUGUCAUAAUGUAACUACGACACCGCAAUAAAGAAACCGGUAAUGAAAAACCG
rnacentral:lncRNA from 1 species